GGAGGUUACACUUCAUAACGAUGAAAAAAUCGAAUUUUUUUUUUUUGCUUAAUUUUCAUCCUUAAGUUGUUAAGAAUACGUGGGCAAAAGGAUAUUUUCAUAUCGAAAGUAUUUUAAGAGUUACAGCUUGUCGGGCGGAACGGUCCGUCGGCUGGAAAACAGGUAUAGACGGCGCCCUCGGAGCGGUCUUGCGAGGAGACUUUUUUUCUAUAUCUGAUGGGUGAAUCUACAAUAGGUGGCAAGGAAUGGUGCUGGAAUGGCUGAUUAGAUAUCAACUGGCAAGGCUGUGGAAUGCCCCGCGCACAUAGAACCACGCCGUGUGUGGCUUCGUGGACUGAGAGCUGGAGCCGCCAUUUUUAAUUAUUUUCUUCUGAAAAAUUUUUUAAUUAAUCUCUAUUUAUGUACGAAUUAAAGCCCCGAAAAGUUUUUUCCA